rnacentral:tRNA from 1 species
GUUGUGGCUCAGUGGUAAAGUGCUUGCCUAGCACAUCUGAGGCACUGGGUUCGAUUCUCAGCACAACA